rnacentral:lncRNA from 1 species
AAUGUAUUCUGUUAGAAAAUUGCGUACGGUAAAAACGCAGCGAAAAGAAAUCAAAUAAAUUUGAUUUUGAAAACUCUCGAGAUCUAAUCUCAAAACCACGCAAUUAGGAUCCCUCAUGUUCUUUAAGAUUAAAGGAGAUAAGUAAAAUCGAAUCAUUACCUUUUUCGCGGAUAAAUCCUUCCCCCAAUUUGAUGAUCAUGGAAUCGGGUUCUCUUGAAGCCGCACACGCGUCCGGCCUCUAUAGGUAUCCACACGAGGUUCUUGAUUUGAUCGAUGUUCUCACCGGGGUGCUAGCUCCCUUGCAAAAGGACGUCUUUCUUGCUAGAAGAUGGAAGAGAGAAGAGAGGAUAGAAGACAGCUUCAGAUUUCUAAAAACUCCCGUAUAUUAUAUAUAUAGGAAUAUAAUCCUAUGCCUAAUAAUAUAAUGACAAUUAAGGAUAAGUAUAAAUCUAGAUUAAAUUUAUCCUUUCCUUAAUUUGUUAGAUCGAUCAAAUCCUAAUUUGAUUCGAUCUUUAUAUUAAUUUGAUCAUAUCAAAUUAAUAAUGCAACAUUUGCACAUAAGUCCUCUCUUGUAACAUUUACACCUUAAUACCACUAAUUUGUAACAAUUACAAAUUAGUCUAAUUAUCAUUAUAUUGACAAUUAGGUCCUCCGGCGAUUCAAUAAUCGCGAUCUAGCUAUCCGAUCAAUCACAACCUCUUAUGUGUGUGACCCUAUAGGUUCUAUUCUGUCUGGUAGUGAGAUAUAUUUUGAUAACUAUCAACAAUAUCACUGAAACUCCUUUCAGUGGAUCGAAACAAUUCCAACUCAGCCCAAUGAGAAUUAUCGAUCAUCUAGACAAUUCUCACGAGUCUCACAAUCCACCAGUGACGCCUAGCAGCAUGUAGUGGCAUUCCAGUAGAAUGGAAUAAUGAACCUCUUGGUGCAGUUACUGUGUGAUACAAUCCUUCUAUCAUGAGUCCCGACUAGAUGGAGGUUAUGGAAUAACUCGUCAAACCCCAUCGUCUGUCAUAUGUUAAAUUUAUUCGACUCGAGUUUCUAAUAUCGGAAACCCUUUUCCGCUAUUUAUUCUGCCCUGGCCAAGGUCUUCUAAACUCGGUCUCAUAAAUCACAUAGGACUAACACCCCUAUCUACCAAGGGAGAUAGAUUCCAUCUAAGUGCGCACCCUAUUCCUACAAUGAACCUACUGCAGCCAACAUGCACCGCAAGGAUCCGAAUGGCUAGGGACCAAGUGUAUGUACAGUCAAACUAUAGUAACCUCAUUGUGAAUAGCCGAGGCACCGCAGGUCAAAGGACCAGUCACACUACUGCAAUAAUUGAGUAAGUCACUGACGAGUGAGUAGACAUCCAAGUGACUUCUCGGGUUGGUCACGCUCGGUACCCUUGUUCUCUAACAACCACCUGCAUAUUCGCUUCAGUGUCCCCACACUGUUGACUCAAGACUCGUCUACCCAAAAGGGAAGCGACCUAUGCACCAAUCUCACUGGAUCAAUCACC